rnacentral:rRNA from 1 species
UACAAAUAAUAAAUAAAAAAUUAUUUUAUAAAAUUAAAUAAAAAAAAUUAUUAUAUUAAAAAAAUUAUUUUUUUAAGUAAAAUUUUAAAAUAAUAAAUAUAAAUAUUUUAAAAUAUUUAUUUAUAUUAAAAAAAAAUUAAUUAAACUA